GUCACAGACCCAAGGCGUCUGAGGCUGGAAGAAACCAGGGGAUCAUCCCUUCCCUCAAUUUGAGAUUAGGAAAGGAGGUCUGGGGAGGUGAAUGGAUUUAUCCGGGGUAAGUUUUACACAGGGAGUGAGUUUUUAUAUUGGGAUUUGAACCCGCGUUAUCCUAAAACAAAAUCAGCACAUUUGCCUCAUCCAGCCUCCAGAGCCGUGGCACGGAGGAGGGAGUGGCCAUAGACUCAUCCGAUGGGUAUAGGGAACCCGAGUUCGAACGCCACCUCUGGUUUUGUAAACUUUAAUAUUUCAACUCUUUCCCCCCCUGAGGUAGUAAAGAUAGAUUCAGGAAAACUGUUUGAACCUCACUUCAGACGGCGUGAUCUCUGAUAUAUUUAAUCUCACUGACCUCAGUUUCCCUAUCUAUAUAAUGGGAACAAUCAUAAUGUAACAAUUACCUCAACAAUUGUUGUGAGGGUCAAAUGAGAUCAUUUAAGUGAAAGGUUUUAAAACCUUAAAAGUUCUAUAUAAAUUACUUGUAAACUCUGCAAUUUUGUAAUGUCGGAAACAGCUUCAGUUUACCAAACUAAAAAUUAAUUUCAGAUGAUUUUCAACAUUUCUAAAGAAAAAUGAACCUACCAAUUCGAUUCCUCUACAGCGAUGGAUAAUUUUAAGUUUUCAUCUGAAAAUGUCUCAUUAUCUCAAGUUCUUAGAAGACAGUCACGAUAUUGUCCGUUUUAUGAAACAAUUACUUUGCCGAUAUCUCUUUUAAAGGUUUUGUGAUCCGUAAGACAGUGAAAUCACUCAAGACUUGGAGACAGAUUCAGAGAAGACAGAAGACAGGAGGCUGGAGCUUAAGGUCUCAGAGCGAAGGAGAGACAUUCAUUCCAUUUCACACCAUCGUGGUGACUGGCCUAUCUUCCUGCAUUUCCUAUACUGAAACUAAGGCCCUUCUGAAGGCCCUCCAGAAAGCUGGCCAAUCCCCAGGCAAGGAGACAGACUGUGAAGGAGACAAUAAAGACUUUUGGACUUUAUCAGCUGGCUAUUCUUGUGGUGAUUAUUCAGCUGAAACAAAGGCUGGUCUAAAGACUUCCAGAAAACUAACCAGAACAUUACAGAAACCAUUCCAGUAUCUUUGUCAAAAAAAUCCCCCAAAGGGGUCACAAAAAGUCUGACUUGACUGGAAAUAACUAAACUAGAAUUUCUUUAAAUUAAUCACUGAAACUGUGUUAUAUAUUAUUAAUAACACAAUGGUACUUAAUUACAUUUCAAAUCCAUCACAAUUUAAAUAAAAUUUUCCUGGGAAUGUGUAAACUUUGUGUCUACAAAGAGAGCCUUGGAAUAAUAAAAGCAGUAUUAGUAUUCUGUCAAGUCAUUUACUAAGUGGGCUGUGGAGGGACUGUAAUUUAUUGUUUUAAUGACAGAAUCACUUGCCUAAUAUGUUAUUUACUCUUCUGUCUCAUUGUGAGAAAAAUAGCAAGGGGAGAAAAAAACCUCUGAAUCUAAAGGAAAUAAAUAGCACCCCCCACAAAAAACAAAACAACAACAAAAAAAAAAAACAAGGUGAAGCAUGUCUAUACAAGACUGUCAUCAUGUGUACUUACAAUUGGCUAAUAUGACUUUGCUUUUACCCAAAAGAGAAACAAAAAUCAAGGGAUGAUUUAGAUUUAGGCGAGUGAUGACAAAAUCAGUUUGGUCAUAUAACAAUCAGUAGGAGAGAUAGUGUGUUCCAAAAACAGUGUUCAAAUCCACAAAACAUUAUCUCAUGUCCAUACAGACACUGGAUAAACUUGACGGAUUAAAAUAAGAUUUUGAUGCUAAAAAACAAAAUCCUGGAGUCAGUACCGUGAAGCCAGUAUCCAAACUUCAAAUGAACUGGAAGUUCCCAUAAUUUAGGAAACCAGUAAAGAAAUUUAAUUGUGGUUUUGUAAAUCUACUUAACCAAACAAUAAAUUUGAAAUCUUGAGUGUAUUCAGAUAUAAGGUUAAAUUUAGGAUGUUUAGCGU
rnacentral:lncRNA from 1 species